rnacentral:rRNA from 1 species
GAUGAACGCUAGCGGGAGGCCUAACACAUGCAAGUCGAGCGGUAUUUGUUCUUUGGAACCGAGAGAGCGGCGCACGGGUGCGGAACACGCGUGCAACCUGCCUUUAUCUGGGGGAUAGCCUUUCGAAAGGAAGAUUAAUACCCCCUAAUAUAUUGAGUGGCAUCAUUUGAUAUUGUAAACUCCGGUGGAUAGAGAUGGGCACGCGCAAGAUUAGAUAGUUGGUGAGGUAACGGCUCACCAAGUCAAUGAUCUUUAGGGGGCCUGAGAGGGUGAUCCCCCAGACGGGUACUGAGGACCGGACCAGAAAGCUACGGAGGAGAGGAGUAAGGAAGAUUGGACAAGGGAGUAUCGCCUGAUCCAGCCAUGCCUCAUGAAGGACGGCUGCGCUAGGGGUUGUAAACUUCUUGUGUAGAGGGAUAAUCCUAUACUAGGGAGCGUAGCUGAAGGUACUAGACGAAUAAGCACCGGCUAACUCCGUG